rnacentral:rRNA from 1 species
GCUUACACAUGCAGUCGAACGAUGAAGCCCAGCUUGCUGGGUGGAUUAGUGGGGAACGGGUGAGUAACACGUGAGUAACCUGCCCUUAACUCUGGGAUAAGCCUGGGAAACUGGGUCUAAUACCGGAUAGGAGGGUCCACCGCAUGGUGGGUGUUGGAAAGAUUUAUCGGUUUUGGAUGGACUCGCGGCCUAUCAGCUUGUUGGUGAGGUAAUGGCUCACCAAGGCGACGACGGGUAGCCGGCCUGAGAGGGUGACCGGCCACACUGGGACUGAGACACGGCCCAGUCUCCUACGGGAGGCAGCAGUGGGGAAUAUUGCACAAUGGGCGAAAGCCUGAUGCAGCGACGCCGCGUGAGGGAUCACGGCCUUCGGGUUGUAAACCUCUUUCAGUAGGGAAGAAGCGAAAGUGACGGUACCUGCAGAAGAAGCACCGGCUAACUACGUGCCAGCAGCCGCGGUAAUACGUAGGGUGCGAGCGUUAUCCGGAAUUAUUGGGCGUAAAGAGCUCGUAGGCGGUUUGUCGCGUCUGUCGUGAAAGUCCGGGGCUUAACCCCGGAUCUGCGGUGGGUACGGGCAGACUAGAGUGCAGUAGGGGAGACUGGAAUUCCUGGUGUAGCGGUGGAAUGCGCAGAUAUCAGGAGGAACACCGAUGGCGAAGGCAGGUCUCUGGGCUGUAACUGACGCUGAGGAGCGAAAGCAUGGGGAGCGAACAGGAUUAGAUACCCUGGUAGUCCAUGCCGUAAACGUUGGGCACUAGGUGUGGGGACCAUUCCACGGUUUCCGCGCCGCAGCUAACGCAUUAAGUGCCCCGCCUGGGGAGUACGGCCGCAAGGCUAAAACUCAAAGGAAUUGACGGGGGCCCGCACAAGAGGCGGAGCAUGCGGAUUAAUUCGAUGCAACGCGAAGAACCUUACCAAGGCUUGACAUGUUCUCGAUCGCCGUAGAGAUACGGUUUCCCCUUUGGGGUGGGUUCACAGGUGGUGCAUGGGUGUCGUCAGCUCGUGUCGUGAGAAGUUGGGUUAAGUCCCGCAACGAUGCAU